CAGCUCAGGUGGUGUUUUGUUCGAUAGCAGGCUAUACCACCGGGGCCUGUGCAACCCUCCAAACUGUCAUGUGUGUGUCUCUUUUCGGUCCUGGUCAAAUGAAAUAUGCAUAUCCUGGCGUCAUUCUGGCCGUAGGGGUCGCUAUGCUCACAAGUCCGCCUAUAGCAGGUCUGUGUCGUGACAUCCAGGGUAACUACGUAGGAGCAUUCUUCAUUGCCGCUGCUGCCUGUUUCUCGUCGGUGAUGGCGCACCUCCCUUUGAGCUGCUCCAUCAAGCCAGGCUCGAAACAAGCUCGGACCCCGUUGGGAGAGAAUGACGAAGGAAUCGUCUCAACUGCGUAAUUUUUUUCUUCGCUUUCUCUUUUUACCAUUUCAUGUAGGAGCAGACAUUUACUAAAAGCAAUCUUUCAUAAAUUACACCAACAAGUAUAGAAUAUCUUUACUUCGAUUUUAAAUUGAUCACAAAAAGAUAUUAUCAGAGCCCUAUUUCGUUAACUCAUAUUCUUCGUAUUUGAAUUUAUGAGACACUGUCGCUCUUUCUUUUAUCUAAACAUUUAAAAUGACAUUAAACAGGGUUAUAAAACGAGGUUGAAUUCCGUAUCCACUCUUUU